GGGGGUGUAGCUCAGUCGGUUAGAGCGCCUGCCUGUCACGCAGGAGGUCGCGGGUUCGAGUCCCGUCACUCCCGCCA
rnacentral:tRNA from 1 species